rnacentral:rRNA from 1 species
GGAAAGGUGAAAAGAACCCCGAACAGGGGAGUGAAAUAGAACCUGAAACCAUACGCUUACAACCGGUCGGAGCAGCUUCGUGCUGUGACGGCGUGCCUAUUGAAUAAUGAGCCUACGAGUUACUAAUCACUAGCGAGGUUAAGUGCAAGGAUGCACGGAGCCGAAGCGAAAGCGAGUCUGAACAGGGCGUUUAGUUAGUGGUUGUAGACGCGAAACCUUGCGAUCUACCCUUGAGCAGGUUGAAGGUUGGGUAAAACCAACUGGAGGACCGAACGAAUAAGCGUUGAAAAGCUUCUCGAUGACUUGAGGGUAGGGGUGAAAGGCUAAUCAAGCUGGGAAAUAGCUCGUACUCCCCGAAAUGCCUUUUGGGGCAGCGUUGUAAUAAAGAGUCUACUGGAGGUAGAGCUACUGAUUGGAUGCGGGGGCUUCACCGCCUACCAAAUCCUGACAAACUCCGAAUGCCAGUAGUAUGAUUUACAGCAGUGAGUGACUGGGUGCUAAUGUCCAGUCGCAAAAGAGGAACAACUCAGACCAGCAACUAAGGUCCCGAAGAAUAUGCUAAGUUGAUCUAACGAUGUUUUGUUGCAGAGACAGCUAGGAUGUUAGCUUGGAAGCAGCUAUUCAUUCAAAGAGUGCGUAACAGCUCACUAGUCGAGCGACAAAGCGUGGAUAAUAAACGGGCAUCAAGUAUACCACCGAAGUUCUGGGCACGAAAGUGCGGUAGGGGAGCAUUCCAUUCAGCGUCGAAGCAGUUUCGUGAGGAAUUGUGGAGCGUAUGGAAAAGCAAAUGUAGGCAUGAGUAACGAUAAUGCGGGAGAGUAACCCGCACACCGCAAGACCAAGGUUUCCUGAUCAACGCUAAUCGGAUCAGGGUUAGUCGGGUCCUAAGGGUAAGCCGAACGGCGAUCUCGAUGGAUAAUCGGUUAAUAUUCCGAUACUAACAUAUACCUCGAUGGAGAGACGAAGGAACGUAAGUGCCGCCACCUGACGGAAUAGGUGGUUAAAGGGCGUAGGUAUAGGGGCAGAUUAAGAGUUAGUCCUUGCUGAAACCUGACAGUACAGAGAGCCUACGGGCAAUUUGAUAGAGCACCCAAGUCGACUUCCGAGAAAAUCUUCUAAGUUAUAGUAUAUGUUACCCGUACCGUAAACCGACACAGGUGGUCGAGGAGAGUAUCCUAAGGUGCUCGAGUGAAUCACGGUUAAGGAACUAGGCAAAUUAACCCCGUAACUUCGGGAAAAGGGGUCCCUAUGAAAGUAGGGCGCAGCGAAGAGGUCCAGGCGACUGUUUAUCAAAAACACAGGGCUCUGCAAAUUCGAAAGAAGACGUAUAGGGCCUGACACCUGCCCGGUGCUGGAAGGUUAAGAGGGGAUGUCAUCGCAAGAGAAGCAUUGAAUCGAAGCCCCAGUAAACGGCGGCCGUAACUAUAACGGUCCUAAGGUAGCGAAAUUCCUUGUCGGGUAAGUUCCGACCUGCACGAAUGGUGUAACGAUCUGGACACUGUCUCAACCGUGAGCUCGGUGAAAUUGUAGUCCCGGUGAUGAUGCCGGGUACCCGCAACGGGACGAAAAGACCCCGUGAACCUUUACUAUAGCUUAACGCUGAAUUUGGGUACACAAUGUGUAGGAUAGGCCGGAGGCUUUGAAGCGGGCACGCCAGUGUUCGUGGAGCCGACGUUGAAAUACGGCCCUUUGUGUAUUUGAGUUCUAACCCUGCGAAGGGGACACCGUUUGGUGGGUAGUUUGACUGGGGUGGUCGCCUCCAAAAGCGUAACGGAGGCUUCCCAAGGUACCCUCAGCACGAAUGGUAACCGUGCGCGGAGUGCAAUAGCAUAAGGGUGCUUGACUGUGAGACAUACAAGUCGACCAGGUACGAAAGUAGGGUAUAGUGAUCCGGUGGUUCUGCGUGGACUGGCCAUCGCUCAAAGGAUAAAAGGUACUCCGGGGAUAACAGGCUGAUCGCCGCCAAGAGCUCAUAUCGACGCGGCGGUUUGGCACCUCGAUGUCGGCUCGUCACAUCCUGGGGCUGGAGAAGGUCCCA